rnacentral:rRNA from 1 species
GAUGAACGCUAGCGGCAGGCCUAACACAUGCAAGCCGAGCGGUAAUGUUUCUUCGGUAUUGAGAGAGCGUCGUACGGGUGCGUAACACGUGUGCAACCUGCCUCUAUCUGUGGGAUAGCCUUUCGAAAGGAAGAUUAAUACUCCAUAAUAUAUUGAACUUCAUCGUUUAAUAUUGAAAGCUCCGGCGGAUAGAGAUGGGCACGCGCAAGAUUAGCUAGUUGGUGAGGUAACGGCUCACCAAGGCGAUGAUCUUUAGGGGGCCUGAGAGGGUGAUCCCCCACACUGGGACUGAGACACGGACCAGACGCCUACGGGAGGCAGCAGUGAGGAAUAUUGGUCAAUGAGUGCAAGCCUGAACCAGCCAGCCCGCGUGAAGGACGACUGCCCUAUGAGUUGUAAACUUCUUUUGUAUAGGGAUAAACCUACCGACGAGAGGGUAGCUGAAGGUACUAUACGAAUAAGCACCGGCUAACUCCGUG